rnacentral:tRNA from 1 species
UGGGGUGUGGCUCAGUGGUAGAGCGCUCAUCUAGCAUUCAUUAGCACUGGGUUCAAUCCUCAGCACCACAU